GAAUCAAAUGCCCGUGCUGGCUGUAGCCAUCAAAUUUAGGAGUUUUCUUUCCAGUCUUUUCCACAAAAACAGAUGCUGUAUCAAUGAAACGGCAGUUAUGCAUUAACAUUUGGACUGGAUUUAAUUCCAGUUAGGAAAAUUCUGAGUAUCAUUAAACCAUGCAGCGGACUUUUUUACCCCUCUAGGCUCCUACAAUACAUGCCUCCAAUGUACCACAAGUUUCUUUUUUCUUUUUCUUUUUUUGAAUACAAAGGAGAGGCAAACUGCCUUUUAACAUUGUACUAAGCGUGGGGUUGUAACCCCUAUUAUAUCAGCUCCUAACAUUUCCCUUAGUCCUGUCGGUGGUUCUUCCAUUAGUCCGCCUGGUAGCUGUAGCUGUAUUGCUUCCUUUGCCAGCCAGUCUGCGCAUCUAUUUCCUCCCCUCCAGAUAUGUUGCAGCUUACAUGACCAUUCCCUGCUCAUCAUGCUUCUAAUCUGCUUAACCAGGUUAUGGUAAGGCGAUGUGGCCACUGCAUCUUCUAUCAUCUCCAAUCCUACUUUUGAAUCCGUCUCUACGAUAACAUCUCUGUAGCCUUUCCCCCAAGCCAGCUGCAUUCCUUUAAGAAUUCCCCAUAGCUCAGCUGCUAUAUUACUUGCAUUCCCUAUACUCUCUGCAAAACCUCCUAACCAUAUCCCUGUUUCAUCCCUAAUGAGCCCUCCUACUCCUGCUCUUCCCGGAUUUCUUUCUGAGGCGCCAUCCACAUUGACUUUGACAACACCUUCAGGAGGCGAAAUCCAUCGUAUAAGACAAUCUUGUUUGGGAACUCUGCCUCUCCCGUUAAAGAGUAGUUGCUUUGCCUGUUCUGCCAUUUGCCUCAAAGUCGCUGAAGGGACCUUAAGGAGGUAAUUCUCACCUUCAAUAGCAAAUUUGUUUCUAGCCCUCCAGGCAUGGUAUACCAUUAUUUGGAAAGUCAGCUGCCACAUCACUCUCCCCCCAGCUCCUAUACCAUCUUGUGUUAAGUUCCAGUCUACCCAAUCCAUUGUGCUUUUGCUGAAAAAAUCCUCCCAGGAAUGGGGGAACACCGAAGUCUUCCAUAUGGGCUUUAUCCAGCUACAGUCCCUAAGUGCAUGAAGUGUAGUUUUGGCAUGCUCUCUGCAUAUUGGACAUUUAUUAUCCAGAGCCAGAUGUCUUCGUUUUUUCUCUCUGUGUGAGUAGUCUGCCAUGCCUGCCCAGCCACAUUUCGUUUUAUUUGUUAUGAUGUGCAAGCAGACGUUUGAAGAUAAGGUUGUAUAUGUCCUUCGUUUUGGUGUAAAUAAAAGAACUAAAGAUGCCGAAAUAUCGUGUCCUCCUGUCCUUUCGUGAUGGACUUUUCACUCUCGACCUCUGUGUGUGUGUGUGUAUUUAUAUAUUUAUAUUUAAACUCUCUUCGACUUAGGAUACAUUUGAUAAUCUGAAAUCUGAAUUUGUUAAAUCACUGAAUUGUUAACUUUUGAAAUCCUAAUAUUUGAGCGUAUUUUGCAUUAAAUAACAAGUGAACAGUUUUUCACUUUUUUUUUUUAAAAUAAGUUUUGCCUAAACAAUUUAGAACUAUUUAAGAAAGGGAUAAUUUCAGAAACCUCCCCUGAGGUUAGCCUAAUCACACCUAGCACUCUUGUGGUUUCAAAAUUAGCACUUAGCUCCCUUGUCAAAUCGAGGGGACAAAAUGUCUCCAUCAAUCAGAGUUAAAUGACGAAAUUACCCUGCAAAUUAUCAUGAUAAAAAGAAUUGGAAUAAUGGAAAAAAAAUAUUAGGCCUAUUGUCUAUUCUUUGUGUUUUUUACUAAUAUUUACGCUCCAUCAAUAUCGGCUUAUACUUUGUGUUUUCUAUUAAUUGUGGUAAUUUUUUUCAUAUAAGGGACAUCAUAUGGGUACAUAUGGUAGUCAAUUCUUCUCUCUCAUGUAAACCGAAUUAUUUAUUGAUAAAUUAUACCUCAAGGGCUAACGAAUUUACACAAAAUGUCAAUCAAAGGGAGCUAAGUGCUAAUUUUGAAACCACUGGGGUGCUAGGUGAGAUUAGGCCUAACCUCAGGGGAGGUUUCUGAAAUUAUCCCUUUAAUUAAUUUACUUUGUUCUAUUUUUUGUGCUCAAACAUGUCUAAACAUAUUAAAAUGAUCUGAAUGCAUUAAUUUUAAAUGUUGAAUUGGAUUAUCAAAUAAGAUUUUAGUUUUAUUCGCAUUAUAUAUAUAUGUAUGUAUGUAUGUAUUACUAGUUAAUAUCUUUAACUAGAUGGCAAAAUGUACUUUCAGGAAAAUGUGAUGCAGCAUUUGCAAAUCCUCUGUACUUGAGGAACAAGAUCUUUGGAUCUUAAACAAUGAGGUUAUUUGUCUUGGCGUAACAUUGGAACGUGUACUGAUAAUAAUCAAAAAAGAAAAGAAGUGGCUGAAUAUUGUUUGGAAG
rnacentral:lncRNA from 1 species